CCAAUGCCCUUCGGGGCUCCUUGGUGAUUCAUAAUAACUUAACGAAUCGCAUGGCCUUGUGCCGGCGAUGGUUCAUUCAAAUUUCUGCCCUAUCAACUUUCGAUGGUAGGAUAGUGGCCUACCAUGGUUUCAACGGGUAACGGGGAAUUAGGGUUCUAUUCCGGAGAGGGAGCCUGAGAAACGGCUACCACAUCCAAGGAAGGCAGCAGGCGCGCAAAUUACCCAAUCCCGACACGGGGAGGUAGUGACAAUAAAUACUGAUACAGGGCUCUUUUGGGUCUUGUAAUUGGAAUGAGUACAAUUUAAAUCCCUUAACGAGGAACAAUUGGAGGGCAAGUCUGGUGCCAGCAGCCGCGGUAAUUCCAGCUCCAAUAGCGUAUAUUAAAGUUGUUGCAGUUAAAAAGCUCGUAGUUGAACCUUGGGCCUGGCUGGCCGGUCCGCCUCACCGCGUGCACUGGUCCGGCCGGGUCUUUCCUUCUGGGGAGCCGCAUGCCCUUCACUGGGUGUGUCGGGGAACCAGGACUUUUACUUUGAAAAAAUUAGAGUGUUCAAAGCAGGCCUAUGCUCGAAUACAUUAGCAUGGAAUAAUAGAAUAGGACGUGUGGUUCUAUUUUGUUGGUUUCUAGGACCGCCGUAAUGAUUAAUAGGGAUAGUCGGGGGCAUCAGUAUUCAAUUGUCAGAGGUGAAAUUCUUGGAUUUAUUGAAGACUAACUACUGCGAAAGCAUUUGCCAAGGAUGUUUUCAUUAAUCAGUGAACGAAAGUUAGGGGAUCGAAGACGAUCAGAUACCGUCGUAGUCUUAACCAUAAACUAUGCCGACUAGGGAUCGGGCGAUGUUAUCUUUUUGACUCGCUCGGCACCUUACGAGAAAU
rnacentral:rRNA from 1 species